rnacentral:rRNA from 1 species
AUCAGGCCAGCAUCGGUUMGAGCGGCCGGACAAAGGCCGCGGGAAUGUAGCUUCCUCCGGGGAGUCUUAUAGCCCGCGGCGCAAUGCGGCCAGCCCGGAUCGAGGACCGCGMUUCGGCUAGGAUGCUGGCGUAAUGGUUGCAAGCGACCCGUCUUGAAACACGGACCAAGGAGUCUAACAUCUAUGCGAGUGUUUGGGUGUCAAACCCAUGCGCGUAAUGAAAGUAACCGGAGGUGAGAACCCGUCAGGGCGCAUCAUCGACCGAUCCUGAUGUCUUCGGAUGGAUUUGAGUACGAGCAUAGCUGUUGGGACCCGAAAGAUGGUGAACUAUGCCUGAAUAGGGUGAAGCCAGAGGAAACUCUGGUGGAGGCUCGCAGCGGU